UACGUAGGGUGCGAGCGUUGUCCGGAAUUAUUGGGCGUAAAGAGCUUGUAGGCGGUUUGUCGCGUCUGCUGCGAAAAUCCGGGGCUCAACCCCGGACUUGCAGUGGGUACGGGCAGACUGGAGUGUGGUAGGGGAGACUGGAAUUCCUGGUGUAGCGGUGGAAUGCGUAGAUAUCUGGAGGAACACCGGUGGCGAAAGCGGUUCACUGGCCCGACACUGACACUGAGGUGCGAAAGCUAGGGUAGCAAACGGG
rnacentral:rRNA from 1 species